GCGACCACCAGAAGCGGCAGGAACCUGUAGACUGGGCCCUCGGUACCUCGCGCGGAUGCCCUGGAAGGAAGUCCUCCUCCUCUGGCCCCGCCCACCGAGGCGGACGCGCCCGGGCUGCAGAGUGCUGAGCCCGGCCUUGGGGUCCGCUUCUCCCCAACAGCUGCUCCCUGCCCUCUCUGAGGUCUCGCCGACUGCAGCCCUUUUGUGUCAGAACGAAUUUUCUGCACAGUCAUUCCGCUCGCUGACCAGCAACAUGUUAUCCCUGCGGCCUGCCUGGAGACACUGGGAAACAGAUCCUGUUCUUCCAGAUACUACAUGUGAAAGAAUGGCCUCCAUCUCCCUGCAGAAGAUACUCUAGAGUUGAAACAGAAGCAUACACAUUUCCAAGGAACAGACGAAGGACUCCCAGUCGUAAACCCUUUUCUUAUGAUUUGAGGAAAAGAAUUGAGAGUCCUACUGAAUCUCCAUACAAGUGACAGUCUCACAAGGCAAGGUAAGGUUUUGGGGCGCAACAUCUAUCCUGUGAGGAUUUUCAAGAGAAAAGGAUAGAAGGUCAGAGAUGCCUUCUUGUCUCUAUAGUUUUCUCAAUUUCCUUGGUGACAUAUUUGUGCAGCAUUUCUUACAAUCCAUCCACUUCAACAUACGAAGAUUUCCAGUAAAAAGCAUGGACAGAGAUUUCAAGGCAAAAGAAGAAAGAGAAGUCUUAGCCAGAGGAAAAGACACCUGAUGAUAACAAGGCAUUUCAGCCAUGAACCUUCCUAUGGGUGAAGAAAACAUUCCUCUUUGGUCUCUGCUAUUUCUGGCACCAACAUACAGUUAGUGAGACACCUCACUUGCUUCUGAACCUGCAAAUGCGAAAAAGCCAGCAAAAGUGGCAAGGAUCAAACUCAGGUCCUCGCGCUUGGGAGGCAGGCGGCGGCACCGCUGAGCUAAAUCCCCGGCCCCCAUACUACUCUUUUCUGUGCCUGUUUUGAAAACAGUACAACUUGGAAAGGACCUUUCCACGACCUGCACCUGCCAAGCUUGUGUUGACCUGCGUGGAGCUGGGAGCGAUAGAUGAGCUGUACGCGCGGCUCGGCCAACAGGAAAUACGUCAUCAGACUGCGCAGCAGGCUCGGCCGCGGGCGCUCUGGAAGGUGACAUUCUGGCGAGAACAGUGGCCGGCUGGGGUCAAACCUCAUCGGGUCCGCGGGGUUGCGGGGCUAUGUCAUUUAUCUAAGUUUCGCUUUCGUUACAGGACAGAGACGCUUUGUGGGUUUUGUUCGUUUUGUUUUGGCCUUCCAUUUUUAUGUUUAGGAUUUAGUUUCUUGUCUUUUAAAAACGUGAAUUAGGGCCGGAGAUUUAGCUCAGUGGCACUGCACCGGCCUCACAAGAGCAAGGUCCUGAGUUAGAUCCCCAGUACCAAAAAACAAACAAACAACAAAAACCGCGGAUUAGCCGGGCGUGGUGGCGCACGGCACGCCUGUAACCUCAGCACUGGAGGUUGAGGCUGGAGGAUAUCAGUGAGUUUAAACCCAGGCUGCACUACAGAGUGAGACGCUGUGUCAAACAAACAUACAAACACCCCCCCCCCCGCAAAAAACCCCCCAGCAAAUUAGCAUCCACCUUCUUAACAAUGCACUCUAUAAUACAGAUUUUAGAAGUCGUAACUUUCCUUGUUAUACUUCUGACUUUACAAAUGCGGCCCAAAGAGAGCCUUUGCUUUUGUAGUGCUACGUUAGAAGGGAGGCCUCGGGUGCCCACCGGGCUUGUGCUCUAUCCCUCAGGGGCACCCAGCCCCCCAGCCCCACCCCUCUCUAGUGAGAUAGGGAUCUGCUAAAUGGCCCAGGCUGGUCUGCAAUUUGCAACAUUCUUCUGCCUCAGGCUCCUAGGAGGCUAAAAUUAGAGGUCUCCACCACCAGGAUGGGUGAGACCUUUCUUUUCUUCUUCUUGUUUUGAGGUUUUUCUUUGUUUUUGUUCUUUGAGACAGGUUCUCCGUAUGUAGCCCAGGCUGGCCUCCAAUUUGUGGAUCCUCCUGCCUAAGCCUCCCUGGUGCUGGGAUUACAGGCAUUUGCUCGACCACGCCCAGCUCCUUUGGUUUUUAUAUGUAGAACAAAAUGAAAAUAGUUUUAUGUUAAAUCUGUGGUUACAGAAGUCAUCCAUGAGCACAUUUGCUUAUGUGCCUUUAAAAAAUUUUUAGGGCAGGGAUUUAGCUCAGUGGCACCGCACCUGCCUUGCAAGCGAAAGGUCCUGAGUUCAAUCCUUGGUAUCGCAAACACCCCCCCCCUCAAAAAAUUAGUUUUUGUUUGUUUUCAGUGUAUUUGUUAAAACACUUGAAAUAAUUUUCAGUAAGUUUGAUGGUAGAGUUUAUUUUUGUAAUAUAAAUGUGAUUCCUCUUAAAGAUGUAUGUGGUUUAUGCAUAUGUAUAUAUGUACCUGUAUACACACACACAAUUUGCUUAUUCUACUAGUUCAUCAUUUUUCUACCAAAAUGUCUGACAGAGGGUAGAGACAAGGAUGUUUUAGAGUAUAUUUGCCACAGUGCCACAUAAUUCAUCUGAGUGCGUCAUAUGGAUUUUCAAUAUGUGUACAUAUAGCUAUUUUUUUGUUUGUUUUUCAUGUGUACGUGCAUGUUACUUAAAAAUUAUUUGGGACCAGAGAUUUAGCUCAGUGGCACUGUGCCUGCCUGGCAGGCGCAAGGUCCCGAGUUCCAUCCCUGGUACCAAAAAUAAUAUUAUUAUUCAGUGAUACUUGCUGGAGCGUGGUAAAGCUGACCAUCAGCAUAGGCAGAGACCACUACAACAGCUUUCCUGUAGGGGAGAGAGAUUUGGCUCAACUCAGAAAACAGCAAGGCAGUGAGUUGGAUGUUGUGGCACUUGUUUGUAAUACCAGCAGUCAGGAGGCCGAGGCACGAGGAUUGCUGUGAGUUCAAGUCCAGCCUGGGCUACAAACCAAGGUCCUAUAUCUCAGAAAACAAAACAGGAGAGGAAGGGAGAAGAGAAGAAAAAAGAAAAGUAGUUAGUCAAGCCAGGCAUUGUCGUGCAUGUCUAGAAUCCCAUUUUUCAGGAGGCCAAGGCAGGGAAUUUUGAGUUGAAGGCUAGCUUGGGCUACGUAAGAGACCCUGGAAAGGAAGGGAAGGAAGGAAGGGAGGGAGAGAAAGAAAUAAGAAAGGAAGGGGAGAGAACAUUCCCUGAACGUCCUCCCUCACCCAAAUUUCCGCCCAGCUUUUGAUGCAUCUUCACCAGACGCCGAAGGUAGCUCAUCUUACGUAAGUAGAAAUGUUACCCAUCUCCGGUGCCUUACACAGUGUUUAGUCUACCAAUUCCUCUAUUAUAGAUGUUUUUAAAAACUUUUUUCUUAAUUAGAAACCUUUUUCAUAUUGCUAAGGAGUUAUAAUUUCAUUUAUAAUUUAAUUCCAGAAUUCAGCUCCUCCCUGAUUUUUAGAUACUUGCUUUUCACAAGUCAUUCAGUUUGACUAGGCCGAAGCUCGCUAACAAGGCACGAGUUCUCCAGGAGUUUUAGCAUCACCUGAGGGCUCCUUAAAACCCCAGGAACUGCCCAGGGCUCUCUAAUUUAGUGGAUCCUUGGGGGCCUGAUAAGUGAGGGUGGUGAAUGAUUGACUGAAGCUGCUGAGUGGCAUUUGCCUGAGGCUCAUGUGGAGAAUGCCUGAGGAUGCAGGUGAAUGAUUUCCUUGCCUGAAAACCCAUGUUGUUUGUUGAGACUCACACAGGAAGAGGUAGAACUAGAAUACUAGGGAUUUGCAUUCCAAAGCCUCUUUAAAAUUUCACUGACUUGAAAUCUAGAGGUUUCUAGUAUACUGCCUAGAAUCUGGACUUUAUUUUCUUUUCAUUAAAAAAAGAAUUCUUGUGAGUCAGGAUUAGUGGCACAUCCCUGUAAUCCCAGCGCUUUGGAGGCUGAAGCAAGGAGCAUCUCUAGCCAACCUUGGCUACAUAAUGAGAUUCUAUUUAAAAAAUAAAACAAAAAUAUGUUUUCUUGUGAUCUAUAUAUACGAAAAAGUGCAGAACACUUAGUCGUGCUUUAUAUUAUAUAAAGCUAACAUCCAAAUUGAGGAAUAGGUGCUCCCUGGUGCUCCCCAAAAAUCUGAAAUUCCUUCCGUAUUUUGACCUCCUCUUCCUCUAGAGAAAAGUCCUACAUGCUACUGUUUUUACUGUACUUUCAUUCCCUGAGUACAUAUUUACCAAAAAUACAGGUGACAUAGUUUCAUUUGUUAUUAAAUAUAUAUGUUGUCUUUUUCACUUAGCAUUGCAUUUCUAGUAUUUAUCCGUAUGUGUGUAAAUCCAGUUUGUUCAUUUUCAUUGAAGAGUGUGGUCUAUCAUUAUAUAGAACUACACACCAUUAUAUAAAACAUAUAUACUCUGUAUAUCACUAUCAAAGUCAGUGUAGUAGGUAUGUCUGAAUUUUUUUUUCUUUUUCUGGUACCGAGGAUUAAACUCAGGACCUUGUGCUUGUGAGGCAGGUACAGCGCCACUGAGCUAAAUCCCUCGCCCUGUCUGUGUGAAAAUUAGUGUGACCAUAUACACAUGCACCCACACGCAGGCACGCACAGACACCCCCCCCAAUAUGUUUGUCCCAUAAACAGACUUAGCCCUUCUGUGCCUGAGGACUGGGGAGUGUCUAGUCUGCAGGUUUUGAAUAUCUGGGUUUAUGUGUCCUAAUUUAUGGAGGUUGCUGCGGUUUGAAUCCAACAUGUUCUCUAAAAGGCUCUUGUGACUUUUGUCCAAUGAAACCAUACUCACAAGUGGGGUUUGGGGGAAGGUGGUUAGAUUACAGAGGUUGUCACUUAACCUGUAAUCAGUAUAUUGAGGGAUUCAGAGUCUGAGGGCACUAACGGGAGCCCUGGGACUUAGGAGGUGUGGCCUGGUCCCAGCUUGUGGGGCGGGGGUAUCACCUUGGGAGUAUAUUGAUUUUCCGGGCCCUUUCACUCAGUAUCCAUGUGUGUCUUGUUCAUUCAUUCACUUCUCUCUCUCCUCUCUUGUUCUGCUCUCUAGCUGCCACAAGGUGAGCAGCUGUGCUCUGCCACCCCCAUCUGCCAUGAUGUUUUGUCCUUGCCAAAGGUUAAAAGCAAUGGAUACAGCUGACCAUGGGCCUGAAACUGUAAGCCAAAAUAAUGUUUUGGGGACAAGGUCUCGCUAUGUAGUCACAUCAGCCUGGCCUUGAAUUCAUUUUGUGGCUCUCACUGACCUCACAGCCAUCCUCCCAGCUCAGCCUUCUGAGUGCUGGAAUUAUAGGUGCAUGCAGCCAAAAUAAACCUACUGAGUUGAUUUCUCAAGUAUUUUGUCACAGCAACAGAAAGCUGCCUAACAACUUCACAUCUCUCAAAGGUCUGUUCCUGGAGUCCAGAAGGUAGAUCUUCAAAUGUUGGCCACGGGAGAGUUAAUUACAACAACUGCUUUCGAAAACAGUGUUCUGGUACCUACAAAACAGUAGGCAUCUUACACACCAUGCAUUCUGCUCUGCAGUGAAUUGCAAGCACAGUGCAUCAGAAUCUAUGCACAUAAAAGUGUAUAGCAGUGAUGGCAAAAAUUUUAGAGCUUUCUAUGAUUAACAGACAAGCUGGGUGUGAUGGUGCACACCUAUUAUUCCAGCACUCUCAAGGUUGAGGCUGGAGGAUCGCCGAGAGUUUGAGGCCAGCUUGAACUACACAGGAAGACCCUGUCUCAGAAAACAAAACAAAACAAGUCCAAAAGGUGAUACCUGUGAAGAGGAAAUAGAGACUCUUUCUUGGAAAGAUUUAUUGAGUUUGUCUUGGUAGGAGUCAGUGACAUAAAUGUAUGGUUAUUUUACUUUUGUUCUUGCAUUUUAUAUCUUUUUUAAAAUUUUUAUAAUAACUGGGAAAAUAUGAUAACAUUUUAUCCUUCUGGGAAAUGUGUGGGUAGAAGAAAAAGAGACAGUCCUGCUCACCAACCCACAUCUUGUUGAGCCCAUCUUUGGUAGAGUAGAUUUUUAUAUUCAGCAAUGUGAAAACUGAAAGUGAGGGUUUUGUAUGAAUAACUUUAUGCCCAAGAGGACAUUUGAGUGCUGAGCUGAGAUGGAGUCUUGUGCUUUACUUUAGGUGAUUUUUUUUUGACUACUUAAAUGCAAAUUCUCUAAAACUAACUAUAAUCCUAUUGCACUGUGAACACAGUAAGAAAAAAAAUUUGUAUUAUUUUCCCCGUAUGCUUAACUAGGUUUGGCUAUGAUGGCUUAUACUGAAGUUAUUCAGGGUUCAGCUGGGAAAAACUACAUUUCCACUGCUGUUUUUUUCUUUAUACCCAUGCCUCCAACUGCAUGGUGCAUAUAUAAUUUAUUAGUUUAUAAUGGAUUCCUGAGAGAAAGAAUAUUUCCAGUGUUUGAUAUCAAUCUCAAAAGUCAAUAUGCUUUUUUUGUAAUUAUUUAAUUCUCAAAAAAAGAAUGGUCAGGGCCUGGGAUUUAGCUCAGUGGUUCUGCCGCCUGCCUGGAAAGCGCAAGGACCCGAGUUCAAUCCCUGGUACCAAAAAAAUUAAAAAAAAAAAAUAAUGAUCAUCUCCUGGCUGCUGUGCCCUCCUACCCAGUGUUCAUUGAAUUUAUGAAAUUAUGGGUUAUUCUGUUGUCUUAGUUAUUUUCUCACUGCUGAGACAAUACCCAACAUCCACAACUUGGAGAAGGAGCGGUUUAUUUUGGCUCACACUUAGUCGAGGAUUCAAUCCAUUCAAUCCAUAGUUAGCUGGCUAUAAGCAGGGCAGAGAGACAUGGCAGAGGAGAACUGCUCAUGGCAUGGCAGGUGGGAAUCAGAGCUUGAGGAGGGAGGAAGCUAACCCUUCCAGGGCCUCGCCCACAGUGACCUACAUCCUUCAGUCAAGCUUCACUUCCUAACAUCGCAUUUAGCUAUAAACUCAUCAGUGGACUCAUCCUCUGCUGAGUAUCACAGCCCCAGGACCCAGUCACCUCCCCAAAGCCCCAUCAGUGAGGGCAUGAGCUUUGGGAGGCCAUCUAGAUAUAAUCCAUAGAAUUCCACCCCUGGACCCCUCAAGACUCUUGUGCAUCCCUUUGUGCAAAAUGCGUUCGGUUCAGCUCUAAGAUUAGCCAAACUCCUGACAGUUUCAGCAUUGCUUAAAAGUCUAAAUCCAAGUUUCCUCUAAGAUCUAGGCAGACUCAUAGCUGUGAGCUCCUGUAAAAAGGACAAGAAAGCGAAACACUUCCAACAUAAAAAGGCACAGGAUAAAGAGUCCCAUUCCAAAAGGGAGAAACAGGGAGCUGGAAAGGACUGGGACCAAAGCAAGACUGAAACCCAGCCGGAGAAACAUUAACUCCUUUAGCUCCAAGUCCAGUAACCUGGGCCAACUUCCCUGAGCCAUGAAUUCCAGUGGGCUUGGCUGACGUCCCAGCCCUGUCACUGCAGGUGGUUGCAGUCCUCAUGGUCUCUCUUUUGGGCUGGCUUUGCUCACUCCUUUGCUCAUUCCUCAGGCGAGCCACAUUCCUGGCUUCUCCAAAAUCCUGGGUUCUCCACUGCACCUUUGGCUUCACACUCACAGCUUCACACCCUGCCCUCCUAGGGGCACACUGCCUGGCCUCCCUGGCCUUCUUCGGAGAUCUGAGUGGAAGCCUCACUGAACCCACAAUUCUUGCAUUCUGCAUGCAUCUAAAACCAGCACCAAGUGGAUGAGCCCAAGGUCUGCUGCCAGCUGGGGCAGUUGCUGAGCCCUUUUGCAACUUGCCAGUGGUUACAGAGGCCUCUGAGGGCCUGGAUGGCCCGGGCCCGGAUGGCCCGGGCCCCUGAACUGAAUGGGGGAAAUCAAAGUUACAGGGAUUCCUUCUCCAACAGAGUGCCUUGGGUCUCUCCUCUUCAGCCGGAGUCUAUAGCCUGCAAAGGGUGGGGCUUUCUGGUCCCUCAAAUCCCCUCAAGGCAUUUUCCUAUUGUCCUGUUGUAAAUUACUUGGGUUCUUUUGAAUGCUAAUCAUUUUAGCAACUAAGCUCUCCUCUGCUUAAACUUUGCAGGGCCAAACAUAAAACUGUUUAAAUCAUAGGGCCAGGGAUUUAGCUCAGUGGUUCCAGCACCUGCCUUGCAAGCGCAAGGUCCUGAGUUCGAUUUUUUGCGGGGGAGGGGACCGGGGAUCGAACUCAGGACCUUGUACUUGCCAGGGAGGUGCCAGAACCACUGAGCUAAAUCCCCAGCCCCCCAAAAACUUUUAAGUCAUUCAGCUAUGACUUUUGCUCUUGAUUCUCAAGGUAGAGCUGACUAAAAGCCCCUGACAGUCCAGUUCCUCUGUCUGAAGGCUGGAGUGCUGUGAAAUUUCCUCUGCCAGGUUAGUUAGUCUGCUACCUUUAAUCUCAGCCUCCUGAAAAGUCUCAGCACAUGGGUAAAAUGUAGACAGAUUUUCUGCUGGAGCAAAACAUUUAUCCUUUGGAGCCCAGCUACCAGGGGAGUCCUUCCUAACUGAAACCUCUUGAGCCUGGUCUUUAUCAGCUACAUCACUGUCCACAGUCUGGUCCAAUCAGAAUCUCCCACGAAGCUUGACUUAAAACAUUUGAGGGCUGAAGUUUUGGAAUAGGAUAGGGAAGACACAGGAGUCUGGAUUAGAAAUCACUUGUUUAGUGAGACUUUUACUUUUUCUUUACUUUGUUUUGUUUUAUAAUGCUGGUGAUUGAAUACUAGGCCUUGCACAUGGUAAGCAGACAUUUUAUUGCUGAGCUCUACCUACAGCUCCAGGAGAGAUUUAAAAUGGAUGGAGUCAGGUGUGGUGGUACACACAUAUGAUGCCAGCACUUGGGAGGUUGAAGCAGAAGGAUUUUGAGUUUGAACCAGGCUGGACUGCAUAGUUUGAAGCCAGCCUGAGCUACAUAGCAGUACCUUGUCUCACCCGCCGCCCCCCAAGCAAACAAAAAAUGAAACAGCCAAGCAUGGUUGCACAAACUUGUAAUCCCAGGAUUUGAGAGGCUGCUGCAAGAAGAUUGCUUUGAGUUUGAGGUCAGCCUGGACUACACACAGAGACCAUGUCUCCAAAACAAAACAAAACAAAGAAUGAAACAAUAAGACCAACAGAGGCUCAAAAGUCGGCCUAAUAUAAGGUUGGGGAUUGGAAACUGUAGGUGGUCAACCUUUAGGGUUAGACAGAGAAGAAUUAGGAAUUGAGUUAUGGUCUUCUCACCUUUUUUUUUUUUUGGUACUGGGGAUCGAACUUGGGUCCUUGUGCUUGCGCAGCAGGCGGCGAAACCACUGAGCUAAAUCCCCGGCCAGGUCUUCUCACUUUUGUGGCCAAUCUCCUACUGAGGAUAACAUGAGUAUCCUCUAAAUUGGGUAAUUAAUGAAUCUUCUGCCAACAGAUAUUUAUUUUUAUUUCUUUUCUUUUUCUUUUUCUUUUUGGUACCAGGAAUAGAACUCAGGGACUCUUGCCAGGCAGCAUUGUCCAGCUGAGCUACAUGUCUGGCACUACUUAUUUCUAUUUCAUGUAAAUUUUGUUCAUAAAAACCAGAGAAACUUUGUGUGCUGUUUUGCAUCCAGAGCUGUGAGCCAAGAUGGCCUCCUUGUUAACUUUUGACCACCCAGGUUCCCACUAUCUGGAGAAAAUGGUGGUGCUGAAUCUGGAAGGUUGAGAAGCAGAAUCUUGGCAGGAAGGAAAUGAGAUUUAACACAGUUUAAACUCAGACCAAUGACAAGUGAUGGUGGUGGCUGGGAGGUUAGGAGAGUGGGUAACAAAGAAAUAUAUAUAUAUUUUUUUGGUUGGGGAUUAAACCCAGGACUUUGCACAUGCUAGGCAAGUACCCUUCCACUGAACUAAAUCCCAGCCCUUUACCUCUUUUUAAUUAUCAGCAAUUCAUUGUGGAUGAUGUACAUGUUUUCUUCUUUUGUUUGUUUUUUGUUUUGUUUUGUUUUGAGACAGGGUCUCUUUCUGUAAUUCAGGCUGGCCUUGAACUCAUCAUGUAGCCCAGGAUGACUUCUAACUCCUCCUGCCCCAGCCUAUAGAGUGCUGGGAUUACAGGGAUACAUUACCCCACCCAGCAAUACAUUUUACAAAUAUAAAGUAAUGCACAGAAAAGAUCUCACUCUGUGUGUAUAAUGUGUAAUAUAUAUGUGGAGGGCAGUAAUGCACAUCUGUAAUUCCUGCAUUCACGAGGCUGAGGCAGGAAGCUCACCAUGAGUUAAUGGCCAACCUGAGCUACAUAAUGAGUUCAAAGCCAGUGUGGAGUAUGUAGUGAGAUCCUGUCCCAAAAAAACCCAAAAUGAAACAAAAGUAUAAUAUAUUGAUCUCUUCUGGUAUUUAAAAAUCUCUCAUCUUGAUUUGAUUUUGAUCCAUCUAAUCGUGAAUCUAGUUUUUUGCUCAUAUAAUGCUUUGUAUUUUUAUCAUGGUAAAAUACACAUAAGAUAAAAUCUAUUGUAACCAUUUUUAGUAUUCAAUGCAGUGGUAUUAAAUGUAUCCACAUUAUUGUGCAACUGUUAUAAGUGUCCAUCUCCAGAACUCUUUCGUCUUGCAAAACUGGAACUCUGUUCCCAGUAAACAAUAAAUCGCCCACCCUCUGGCACCCCCCAGUCUACUUUCUUUCUUUCUUUUUUGGUACCAGGGAUCGAACUCAGGACUUUGCGCUUGAGAGGCAGGCGCUGGAAUCACUGAGCUAAACCCCCCCCCCCCAGUCUACUUUCAAUCUCUAUGAUGUUUGAUUGCUUUCCAUACCUCACUGAGUCAUUCAGUAUUUGCCCUUUUCUAAGUAGCUUUGUUCACUUAGAACAAUGGCAGGAUUCAUCCAUUUUGUAUCAUGUCAGAAUUUCUUUCCUUUUUAAGAUUGAACACUAUUAAGUUUAUUCAUCUCUCCAUGAACACUUUGGGUGGCUUCUACCUUUGCCUUUUGUGAUUAGUGCUUCUGGGAAUGUGAGUGUGCAAAUAUCUUCACUUCUGUGGAUUCGGAUUCGGGUCCCUCAGGUAUACAGCCAGCAGGGAAAGUGCUGAUGCUCAUGGUGUUCAUUGUUCAGGUGUUAAUUUAUAAAGGAGAUGGGGUGAUGAUGUGGGCAUUCUGAUGUCAUGGAAACCAGAUUUUUAUUACUUAACGUUUUCCCAGAGAAGGGAACAUGCCACACCACCGUGUACUGUGCCACAUGACAUUGAGUGAGGAACAGCAGGUUUUGGUCAGGAGGCAGAACACAGGCGUGAGUUGAAUACGGUAUCCAGGCCAAAGCCUUUUGGAAUCCUUGGGCAAUCCAGGGAACAGCAAAGGCGAUCAGGGAUUGGCUGGUUUAAAUAACCCUGGCCAGUUGGAGGGUGGAGUGUGUUCUCUAGUGGCUCCAUACUUGGCCUGGGACAAUUGAGAGCAGAGUCCUGUGAAAGUGAAGGAGGAGUUGAGUGUGGCUGUGGACUGGGGCUAGUCAGUCUGCAGUGUGCUCACAGGCAUGUAGUUAUCUUCAGAGAUUAGCCAGCCUUGGGUAAGGCCAGUUCUCACUGGGUUUAUGAGGCCCUCAGUAUCAACACACCAAGAAAAAGGAAAAUAAGAAAUAUAGUUAAUAUAACUCACCUUGAGGUAAAUGUUUGUCAAGGAGACCUAUGCAGGAUCUAAGGAAAUCUAGAACCUGUGGUAUUUUUUAAGAAAAGUUUUUGGAGGAACAGCAUGUUUUCCAUAGUGGCUCUUCCAGUUUACAUUCCCACUAACAUUGCAUAAGAUCUGCAUUUUCUCCAUAUCUUCUAUAAUCUUUUUAUGCCUAGUGUUCCAUUUUCACAAUACUGAUAACAAUGGAACAUAAUAAAAUUUUUCUCUUCAAACUCUUGUUCUUUGAAUUUUUCUAAGUAACAUAAAUUUCAUGCAAAAGAUUAAAAAAAAUGCAAUCUUUAGCAUAAAGGUGUUAACACUUAUGUUGUUUUUUAUUGUGUGUGUGUGUUACACAGUAGCCUUCCUAAUAUAGAAAUUCUGAACUCUGAAAAAAGUUUUACUUGAAGUGGUAGAGGAAAAAGCAAGACUUUAUGACCGGUUGGCUCAGUGAAGUCCGUACUUCAAAAAGGCCUGGAUGAGAGGGGGAGGUUUUGUAUUGUAGUUUUAAGUUGGGAAGGG
rnacentral:lncRNA from 1 species